AUUGAACGCUGGCGGCAGGCCUAACACAUGCAAGUCGAGCGGAUGAAGAGGGCUUGCUCUCUGACUCAGCGGCGGACGGGUGAGUAAUGCCUAGGACUCUGCCUGGUAGUGGGGGACAACGUUUCGAAAGGAACGCUAAUACCGCAUACGUCCUACGGGAGAAAGCAGGGGACCUCCGGGCCUUGCGCUAUCAGAUGAGCCUAGGUCGGAUUAGCCAGUAGGUGAGGUAAUGGCUCACCUAGGCGACGAUCCGUAACUGGUCUGAGAGGAUGAUCAGUCACACUGGAACUGAGACACGGUCCAGACUCCUACGGGAGGCAGCAGUGGGGAAUAUUGGACAAUGGGCGAAAGCCUGAUCCAGCCAUGCCGCGUGUGUGAAGAAGGUCUUCGGAUUGUAAAGCACUUUAAGUUGGGAGGAAGGGCAGUAAGUUAAUACCUUGCUGUUUUGACGUUACCAACAGAAUAAGCACCGGCUAACUUCGUGCCAGCCGCCGCCGUAACAC
rnacentral:rRNA from 1 species